GACGAACGCUGGCGGCGUGCUUAACACAUGCAAGUCGAACGGAAAGGCCCUGCUUGUGUGGGGUGCUCGAGUGGCGAACGGGUGAGUAACACGUGAGUAACCUGCCCUUGACUUUGGGAUAACUUCAGGAAACUGGGGCUAAUACCGGAUAGGAGCUCCUGCUGCAUGGUGGGGGGUGGAAAGUUUCGGCGGUUGGGGAUGGACGCGCGGCUUAUCAGCUUGUUGGUGGGGGAGUGGCUGACCAAGGCUUUGACGGGUAGCCGGCCUGGGAGGGUGACCGGCCACCUUGGGACUAAGGUACGGCCCAGACUCCUACGGGAGGCAGCAGUGGGGAAUAUUGCACAAUGGGCGGAAGCCUGAUGCAGCAACGCCGCGUGCGGGAUGACGGCCUUCGGGUUGUAAACCGCUUUCGCCUGUGACGAAGCGUGAGUGACGGUAAUGGGUAAAGAAGCACCGGCUAACUACGUG
rnacentral:rRNA from 1 species